CCCUUAGAUGUUCUGGGCCGCACGCGCGCUACACUGAUGAACGCAACGAGCUCCUCCCUUAUUCGAAAGAAUCGGGUAAACUUGUGAAAGUUCAUCGUGAUGGGGAUAGAUUAUUGCAAUUAUUAAUCUUCAACGAGGAAUUCCUAGUAAGCGCGAGUCAUCAGCUCGCGUUGAUUACGUCCCUGCCCUUUGUACACACCGCCCGUCGCUCCUACCGAUUGAAUGGUCCGGUGAAAUCUUCGGAUUGCUGACCAUGGCAUUUAUUUGUCUUGGUUGCGAGAAGUUGAUUGAACCUUAUCAUUUAGAGGAAGGAGAANUCGUANCA
rnacentral:rRNA from 1 species